AAACGAUGUCCCGCUGCUGUUGAGGCUGA
rnacentral:sRNA from 1 species